rnacentral:lncRNA from 1 species
GGAUGGUGUCUACUUCUAGGCUCACUGGUGUGGUUGGCUAUCUCUUGCCCCUCAUGUGGAUAUCUCAGGUUACCUUACAAUGCUACAGUUAGCUUUCUUAGGGAUAGUCAUUCAAGAGUCACAUGAGGAAUGUAAGCCAGAAGCCACUCCAACUUCUGGUAUUCUGUCACUUCUGAUACCUUCUAUUGGCUAGAUGCAAACCUGUAAGUCCAGCCCAAAUUCAGGAGCCUGCUAGGUAGUAGUAUCACUGAAGACCAAGAUUGCAUUUGAAACAUGUUUCUAUUUAAAUUGUUUUAUUUUGUGUGUGUAUCACACAAACCACAGUGUACUAAUGGAUGUCAGGACAGUUUAUGGAAUUUGGUUCUCUUCUUCUAUGAUAUGGUUCCCAGGGCUCUAACUCUGCUCAUUGGACUGAGUGGCAAGCAUCUUUACCUGUUGAUCUAUUUUAUUGUCCCCUGAGUUCAUAUUUACAUCCAGAUGAGAAGGUAGUAUAAUAGAAUGUCUAUGAGAAUGCUUAAGAAUACCCCUAAGAUAGAUUUAAAUCCCCAGAUUUAUUAUUUCUUAUCAAAAAUUUAAUUGUGUGCAUAUAUGUACAUAUGUACAUAUGCAAACUUGUGGGUGCAUGCAUGCAAAGGUGCUUGUGUAGAGAUUUGAAAACAAUUUUCAAGAGACAGUUCUCCCCUUUCACUGUGGAUUCUGGGGAUAGAACUCACAUUAUAAGGCUUAUGCAGUGUUUUAGUUACUGUUCUAUUGCUGUGAAGAGACACCAUGGCUAAGGCAACUCUUUUUUUAAAAAGCAUUUAAGUUAACUGUAGUGGCAUAAGCUUUUAAUCUCAGCACCUGGGAGACAAAGGCAGGAAAAUCUGAGUUCAAGGCCAGCCUGGUCUACAGAGUGAACUGGAGUUACACAGAGAAAUCCUGUCUCAAAAAACAUUUACCAGAGGGUUUGCUUACAGAUUUAGAAGGUUAGUCCAUGAUCAUCAUGAUGGGAAGCAGACAAAGAUGGUAUUGGGGCAGUAGCUGAAAGUUCAUAUUCAUUCUGAUCUGCAGGCAACAGUAGAAAGACAUUGGGCCUGGAACCGGCUUUUGAACCCUCAAAGCCCAUUCUUAAGAAUAUGCCUACUCAAACAAAGCCAGACUUCAUAGUCAAAGGCACACCUUUUUCAAACAGUUCCACUAACUCUAUGUUGGCAAUUCUCAUUUGAACCACCAUAUGCAGCAAGCACUUUUACCUGAAGAAUAAUUCUAGCACCAUUUCUUAAAAUUUCUACAAUGUUGAAAAAUUUUUAGAACCUUUCUGAGACACUUUUCUUUUCAUUUUUUAUUAGAUAUUUUCUUCAUUUACAUUUCAAAUGCUAUCCUCUUAGCCCCCUAUACCCUCCCCCUGCCCUGCUCCCCAACCCACCCACUCCUGCUUCCUGGCCCUGGCAUUCCCCUGUACUGGGGCAUGUGAUCUUCGCAAGACCAAGGGCCUCUCCUCCCACUGAUGGCCGACUAGGCCAUCCUCUGCUACAUAUGCAACUAGAGACAGAGCUCUGGGGAGGUACUAGUUAGUUCAUUUUGUUGUUCCUCCUAUAGGGUUGCAGACCCCUUUAGCUCCUUGGUAUUUUCUCUAGCUUCUUCAUUAGGGGCCCUGUGUUCCAUCCAAUAGAUGACUGUGAGCAUCCACUUUUGUAUUUGUCAGGCACUGGCACAGCCUCACAAGAGAGAGCUAUAUCAGAGUCCUGUCAACAAAAUCUUUCUGGCAUAUGCAGUAGUGGCUGGGUUUGGUGAUUGUAUAUGGGACGGAUCCCGGGUGGGGCAGUCUCUGGAUGGUCCUUCCUUCCGUCUCAGCUCUGAACUUUGUCUUUGUAACUCCUCCCAUGGGUAUUUUGUUCCCCAUUCAAAGAAGGAGCAAAGUAGCCGCACUUUGGUCUUCCUUCUUCUUGAGUUUCGUGUGUUUUGCAAAUUGUAUCUUAGAUAUUCUAAGUUUCUGGGCUAAUAUCCACUUAUCAGUGUGUGCAUAUCAUGUGUGUUCUUUUGUGAUUAGGUUACCUCACUCAGGAUGAUAUCCUCCAGAUGCAUCCAUUUGCCUAAGAAUUUCAUGAAUUCAUUGUUUUUAAUUGCUGAGUAGUACUCCAUUGUGUAAAUGUACCACAUUUUCUGUAUCCAUUCCUCUGUUGAGGGAAAUCUGGGUUCUUUCCAUCUUCUGGCUAUUAUAAAUAAGGCUGCUAUGAACAUAGUGGAGCAUGUGUCCUUAUUACCGAUAUGCCCAGGAGAGGAAUUCUUCUGAGCCACUUUUUAUGUGCAAACUUUGAAUAAAAAUAUCUAAUUAACCAAGUCAUUUUGAAGAAUAAAUUUGUGUAAUAUUCCUAGGAUGUAGUAACUAUUU